rnacentral:rRNA from 1 species
GAUGAAUGCUGGCGGCGUGCCUAAUACAUGCAAGUCGAGCGGUAAGGCCCUUCGGGGUACACGAGCGGCGGACGGCUGAGUAACGCGUGGGAACAUGCCCCAAAGUGAGGGAUAACGCACCGAAAGGUGUGCUAAUACCGCAUAUGGUCUUCGGAUUAAAGGAUUUAUCCGCUUUGGGAGUGGCCCGCGUACGAUUAGAUUGUUGGUGAGGUAACGGCUCACCAAGUCGACGAUCGUUAACUGGUCUGAGAGGAUGAUCAGUCAGACUGGAACUGAGACACGGUCCAGACUCCUACGGGAGGCAGCAGUAAGGAAUCUUCCACAAUGGGCGAAAGCCUGAUGGAGCAACGCCGCGUGCAGGAUGAAGGCCCUCGGGUCGUAAACUGCUUUAUGAGUGAAGAAUAUGACGGUAACUCACGAAUAAGCACCGGCUAACUACGUGCCAGCAGCCGCGGUAAU